UACGUAGGGGGCAAGCGUUGUCCGGAUUUAUUGGGCGUAAAGAGCGUGUAGGCGGCCAAACAGGUCAGCUGUGAAAACUCGAGGCUCAACCUCGAGACGUCGGUUGAAACCGUUUGGCUAGAGUCCGGAAGAGGAGAGUGGAAUUCCCGGUGUAGCGGUGAAAUGCGCAGAUAUCGGGAAGAACACCCGUGGCGAAGGCGGCUCUCUGGGACGGUACUGACGCUGAGGAGCGAAAGCAUGGGGAGCGAACAGG
rnacentral:rRNA from 1 species